AGCGAACGCUGGCGGCAGGCCUAACACAUGCAAGUCGAACGAACUCUUCGGAGUUAGUGGCGGACGGGUGAGUAACACGUGGGAACGUGCCUUUAGGUUCGGAAUAACUCAGGGAAACUUGUGCUAAUACCGAAUGUGCCCUUCGGGGGAAAGAUUUAUCGCCUUUAGAGCGGCCCGCGUCUGAUUAGCUAGUAGGUGAGGUAAAGGCUCACCAAGGCGACGAUCAGUAGCUGGUCUGAGAGGAUGAUCAGCCACAUUGGGUCUGAGACACGGCCCAAACUCCUACGGGAGGCAGCAGUGGGGAAUCUUGCGCAAUGGGCGAAAGCUUGACGCAGCCAUGCCGCGUGAAUGAUGAAGGUCUUAGGAUUGUAAAAUUCUUUCACCGGGGACGAUAAUGACGGUACCCGGAGAAGAAGCCCCGGCUAACUUCGUGCCAGCAGCCGCAGUAAGAC
rnacentral:rRNA from 1 species